GGCUCAGAACGAACGCUGGCGGCGUGGAUAAGACAUGCAAGUCGAACGAGAGAAUUGCUAGCUUGCUAAUAAUUCUCUAGUGGCGCACGGGUGAGUAACACGUGAGUAACCUGCCCCCGAGAGCGGGAUAGCCCUGGGAAACUGGGAUUAAUACCGCAUAGUAUCGAAAGAUUAAAGCAGCAAUGCGCUUGGGGAUGGGCUCGCGGCCUAUUAGUUAGUUGGUGAGGUAACGGCUCACCAAGGCGAUGACGGGUAGCCGGUCUGAGAGGAUGUCCGGCCACACUGGAACUGAGACACGGUCCAGACACCUACGGGUGGCAGCAGUCGAGAAUCAUUCACAAUGGGGGAAACCCUGAUGGUGCGACGCCGCGUGGGGGAAUGAAGGUCUUCGGAUUGUAAACCCCUGUCAUGUGGGAGCAAAUUAAAAAGAUAGUACCACAAGAGGAAGAGACGGCUAACUCUGUGCCAGCAGCCGCGGUAAUACAGAGGUCUCAAGCGUUGUUCGGAAUCACUG
rnacentral:rRNA from 1 species